AGGCGUGGGGGCGGGCGGCCCGGCCGCACCUACGGAACGCAGUUUGUCUUGCCGCCUGACAGGGCCCGGGCCGCCGCUGGGUUCGGGCGGGGGGCGAGGGCGCUGGCAGCUCCCGCCGGCGACGCGGCCGGACCGAGACGGAGAGGAGGAGCCUCCAGCUGCAGCAAAUGAGCGAGGGCUGCCAGGUUUAUAAAUCUGCUUUUCCGCCCACCGCCCCCGAGCCCCGCUGACUCCGGCGGCAGCGGCUGUCGGCUGCGGCCCCGCCAGAAAGGACGUUUUUCUGACGGCUUCCCAGCUCUGGAGAGUGCAGGAGGCUCCGAAAGGUGGCAGCAUCAUUUAUUUCUCUGGUGAAACAGAAGAAUGCACUCAGUCGCACUUCUCAGCAGCUCUGCAGCCUAUGGAGUGUGUGGGCAGUCUCUGUAUGCAGCAUCCUGGAAAAUGUGCGUUCUCUUGAAGUGAUCUGCUGAAAAGCACGUACUUGUACAGUUGUUCCAGCCUCCCUUGUUGUCUCAAGAGCUGAAAUGCCUGGUCUCUAAUACUCCCUGGGGUCUCCAUUUCAUUUGCCAAAGAAACACUACCUGCGCAGUUAUCCAGUGAACCCCGAAGAGCAGGGACACUGAAGAUGGCUCUGCGUGCUUUUUAUGCUGUUUGGGCUUUGCUGCUAGAAGUGGCAAUAGCAUUUGGCCCAGUGCCAAGGAUCACUUGGGAGCAUAAAGAGGUCCAGCUAAUACAUUUUAAUGAAUCAAAAGUGUCAAACUAUUCAACCUUGCUGUUAAGUGAAGACAAAAAUGUUCUAUAUGUAGGAGCCAGAGAAGUGAUCUUUGCCUUAAAUGCGAUGAAUAUUGCUGAGAAGCAGCACGAGUUACACUGGAAGGUCACAGAAGAUAAAAGGACUAAAUGUGCAGUUAAGGGCAAAUCAGAACAGACAGAAUGUCGUAAUUACGUGCGUGUCUUGCAACAGCUGAAUGAUACUUUCCUCUACGUGUGUGGAACUAAUGCAUUUCAGCCAACGUGUGAUUACCUGAAUUUAAUUUCAUUUGAACUUGGAGGUAAAAAUGAAGAUGGUAAGGGCAGAUGUCCAUUUGAUCCUGCUCAAAGCUACACAUCUGUUAUGGUUGAUGAGGAGCUUUAUUCUGGGACUUCCUACAAUUUCUUGGGAAGUGAACCUAUUAUUUCACGUCACUCUCAUCAGAGCCCUCUGAGAACAGAGUAUGCAAUACCUUGGCUUAAUGAGCCCAACUUUGUUUUUGCUGAUGUGAUAAGAGCAGAUCCAAACAGCGCAGAUGGAGAAGAUGACAAGAUAUACUUCUUUUUCACUGAGGUGUCUGUGGAGUAUGAAUUUGUUGGAAAAUUGAUGAUUCCAAGAAUAGCUAGAGUAUGCAAGAGGGACCAAGGAGGAUUAAGGACCUUGCAGAAAAAAUGGACUUCGUUUCUCAAGGCCAGACUGAUUUGUACCAUCCCUGAUAAGAAUUUAAUUUUCAAUGUUAUCAAUGACGUUUUUAUUCUCAAAUCUCCAACUUUGAAGGAACCAGUGAUAUAUGGAGUCUUCACCCCACAACUGAAUAAUGUGGGAUUGUCAGCAGUGUGUGCGUACAAUCUGUCUACUGUAGAAGAGGUUUUCUCAAAAGGAAAAUACAUGCAGAGUGCUACAGUGGAACAGUCUCAUACAAAGUGGGUACGAUACAAUGGGGAAAUUCCGACUCCUCGACCUGGUGCGUGUAUAAACAAUGAAGCCAGAGCAUCAAACUACAUGAGUUCUCUGAAUUUACCAGACAAAACAUUGCAGUUUGUUAAAGAUCAUCCUCUAAUGGAUGACUCAGUGACCCCAAUGGGAGACAGACCUCGCCUAGUAAAGCGAGAUGUGAAGUAUACUCAGAUAGUAGUUGACAGAGUCAGAGCACUCAAUGGCACCAUCUAUGAUGUUAUGUUCAUCGGUACAGAUCGAGGAGCCCUGCACAAAGCUAUCAGCUAUGAAAAUGGCAUGCAUAUUAUUGAAGAAACACAGCUUUUUCCAGAUUUUGAACCAGUCCAAUCUCUCUUGCUUUCAUCCAAAACAGGCAGAAGAUACCUCUUUGCUGGUUCAAAUUCUGGUGUGGUGCAGUCUCCAGUGGCAUUUUGUGACAAGUACAUCACUUGUGUUGACUGUGUUUUAGCAAGGGAUCCUUACUGUGCUUGGAAACCUCUUGAAGCUUCCUGCAUUGAUAUUUUUAAAGAAGGUGAAAUGGAAAGGAACUGGAUUCAAAACAUAGGUGGAGAUGCAUCUUCUUGUUCUGAUAAAGUAAGAGAGAAUCCCCUACAGCAUACAUUCAAGCAUGGGAGCACAGCAGAACUCAAGUGUUCUCAAAAGUCCAAUCUGGCACAGGUAGUUUGGAAGUUCAAAGAUGAUGUGCUGAGAGUGGAGAGUCCCAAGUACCGUCUGCUGGAGAAGGCACUGCUCAUCUUCAAUUUAUCAGAAGGAGACAGUGGUGUUUACCAGUGUUUGUCAGAAGAAAAAGUGAAAAAUAAAAAAUUUUCCCAAGUGCUGGCUAAACAUGUUUUGGAAUUGAAAAAAAUGCAGCAUACCACGGUGGGCCCCACUGCAACAGCUGCACCAACAGAAGCCUCAUCUCCUAUACCUUUCCCUCCUACUGGUACCUCCUUUUUGUCCUGUGUGGGAAGUGAUUCACCUCCUUCACCCACCAGUACCCAGCCUGAUGUGUGGUCUAGCAAAGACCCCGUAAAGGUCAUGUUGUUGCCACCUUUCCUAAGUGACCAGGCACAGUAUGUUAGUGUCCGGGGACCCUUCCACCUCUUCUGCCAAGCCACAGCUGUCUGGAAACUCAGCAGGAGUUGACAUGGGGCCUGCUGAGACCCUCAUUGCUAAGUCUGCAUGCAAAACCAACAGCAUUAAACACCUUUGUAAGUGCUGUGAUUACCUCAGCUCUGAUGUGAGCUUUAUAGCGACUUCUGUAAUAAAAUUGAAAAAUAAUUUUUAUUAGUGACAUGGAUGAUGCAUUCUUAAAUUCUGGCGCCAGCAGCAGAUUUUGAAACAUUUCUGUAAAAAUUUCCUUUGCUGUGCAGUUUUAUGUGGAAAGACUGUGGUCAAGGUAUGAAAUAUGUGGAAAGCUGUGCAACAAGAAUGCCUUUUUAGUUUGUUGUUGUUGCUUUUGGGAUUAUUUCUUGUUGUUGUUUGUUUGGUUGUUUUGUUUUAACUUUGUAUUAAUUUUCCAGUAAAGACUAGAAUAAGUUCAGUGUAAAAAUAAUUUAAGCAUAAGGCAAAUAAAAAGUAUCAGGCAUCAAAUUAAAAAGGGAAAGAGCAAGAAAAAGAAGUGGAACCAAAAGUGUCUUGUUAUUUUUUCCUCAGAAGAUUUAAUAAAUGUAUUGUUUUCCUACAUUUCACAGUGUGCAGCUGCACUCGUAAAGGUUUUUCCUGCGAAAUGAGUAAUAAGGUGCCGUGGGAAACAUCUUGUGCGGCUUUUGGUAGUUUAUAAACGAUUAAAACAUAAAGAAGGAACUUUAGGGCCUUUGGGAGAUUCAGUCCACUCAGGACUAGCAGCUGCAGCCUGCACUAGUUACUGCUGUGGUAAUGUGUGUAGAGCACUUGAGGCUGUACGUCUGCUGCAGUGUGUCCCGUGCACAGCAGUUGGUGCUUGGUACACUCACCACUCAGUCUUACAGGCUGCAUCUUGUGUCAGCACAGGGCUUGGGGAAAUAAAACCCUUGAAUGGUUUUCAGAGCUUUCCACUGAUAAAAAACCCAUUUUUUUAACCAGUUUUUACCCUCGCACAGUUUGAAUAAGCCACCCUUUUGAGAGAGCAACUUGUCAAAAAUUCUGUUGAGGCCAAGGCAAAGAGCUGGCACCUCUGUUCAGCAGCAGCUUGGCUGUUCAGUUGUCUAGUUCAUCUUUUUAGCUUGCCUGGGGAUUGGGUGCUGCAUGGGCUGUCAGCAGAGAUGAGCUGCCUGGGUUACAAAACGAGCAGUAUUCUCAAUUUGAAUUUAAUGUACACAAUUUUGGGAGACUGAGAGAGAGCAGAAUCCACACCAGCUUUUGUAGUGUGACUAGGUACAUAUAAAAAGAGGAGCUUGCUUCACAUUGGGGACUGUGAGACCCAAAUGCCUUUUGGGAUGCCUUCUCUCUGGAGGGAGAGGGAUUCACUUAGUGUAUUUUCUUCUCUGUACCACUUGCUUGCAGAAGUUUACCUGACCUCCCAGUUUAGCCUUUCUUUUUUUUACAGUUCAGCAUAAAUAUUUCAACUUUUUCUCCUUGCUAAUAUGGGACUUAAUUCAGUAAUGUCUCAGCUUGAAGCAGUACCCUGGUAGUAACUGCUGCACCCUGGCCAUGAUUGAGCAGCUAUAUUUCCCAGUCCUGCCUAGUGAGAUGUGAUGGGUUUGGACUGGUACAGGAAUCUGGACCACAGUUUUACGCUGUUUUCCUCAGAAUGUCUUGUUACUCCCUGCCAGCCAGGAUUGCAGCCUGACUACCCCGUACUUGUUUUUCUUCCCCAUGAGAGCUACAGCCUCAGUAGAGUUGUAAUUAAUAAUCUGUUGGUGUGGUGGCUGAUAAACUGAGUACUAAUUUAGACCAAAGCUGUCAUCUUGUUUUAAACCAUUUCAGCAGAAACUGCUACCAGAACUGUCUUAGCAUAUUGUGUGCAUUGUCCUCACAGUGGAGAUGAAAAUCUCAUUUCCAUCUCUUCAGUCAUCUUCCUGCUAGAUUUACCUCUCAAACAAAGCCAAAGCAGUAGUUUGUGUUCUCUGGAGAAUAGAAGUGAUUUUUGGAGAGAGUGUUACUCCUUAAAAUAUGUUCUCCAAUUUUCUUCACUUUAUUUUAAAACUUAACGUAGUAGCCUUGUUAGCUGAUAGGAUGGCAAAAAAUACUUAGGCAAACGCAAAGUGCCAGCGGAAGUUUAGGCUGGGCAUCAGGAAAAAGUUCUUCACAGGAAGAGUGAUUGGGCAUUGGAAUAGGCUGCCCAGGGAGGUGGUGCAGUCGCCAUCCCUGGAAGUGUUUAAGGAAAGACUGGAUGUGGCACAUAGUGCUGUGCUCUAGUUGAUAAGGCGGGGUGUGAGGUUAUAGGUUGGACUUGAGGAUCUCUAAGGUCUUUCCCAACCUAGUUAAUUCUGUGAUACUGUGGAAGUGGAAUCUAAUGUUUUAGUUUUUUUUGAUUUUGUGACAGUCCCUGAUUCUAGCUUACCAGUACUUUAUCAGAUUUUUUUUUUCCACAGACAAUUAUCCAGGUUCCAAUUGCAAAACCUUUUUCUGGACAUUCAGUGAGCAAAGAAUAAAUGCAUGAACAGUUAGAAAUUAUAUUUUUAUCUAAUGGGCCAGUCAGCCAUUUUCCCAAUCUGCUUUUAAAUUCCACUCUGAGAAGAUGGAUGCUGUGUCCUGCUUGUACCUAUGUGUGCUGUGCAUUGCCUCCAGUGUGACUGGUUGCUGCUUCCAGCUCUUACGUGGUUCACCUCCCGCAGGAAGCACUUCGUGCUUUCCAUCUGUCAUAAUAAGGCUGCAUCAGCUUGUGGUGCUGAUGUUACACAAAGGGAUGGGUAAUUUAAUGAAGCACCAGGUGUCUGAAGGUCCUCAUGCAUUCUUCAGUAUAAAAUACUUGGUAUUGAAAGUAAUAUUCUUUGGCAUUUCAGAGAGGUCUGUUUUCUUGGCUUUUUAUUGGCUUUUUUUCCAUUGCUGUCAAGUUUGUCUUGUAGAAUUAAUUGCCCUGAUUUAACAAUCAAGCACCAACCAAUGAAACUACCAAAAUGUGCACCUCUGUUAUAGGGGGUACUGGCUAUAUAACUUGCACUCUGUUUUCAAAAAACUGCUAAGAUGCUUGUCUCAAUUUAAAGACUUCCCCCCCACACACACUUUUCCGUUCAGCUUCCCUCCGAUGGCUUCAUUUCAUACUGCUUUACUAUUUUAGUAUCUUAUCAGCAGCAAUGACUCAGACUCCUACAACUCAAGAAACUGUGACCAGCCCUAAAUCUUUAUUCACAUACUGACUAGUGCUGGUGGUAAUGUUUCAUAUUAAUGAUUGACUAACCUCUUCCUGGGCUAACUUUGAUGUCUGAUUUAAAAGAAAACCUUCCCGCAUCCAGAUUAUAGUGCCUUUUUAAAACUUAAUCCCUGCUCCAGAUGAGAGCUUCCUGUAUGAUCUUGGUUUUCAGAAAUCUGGGAUGUUUGCUUCAGUAGAAUUCAGCAAAGCCGCAAGCUUGGUAACAAGCAUUAAGUCCACAUGCUGUUCUUAAUCUCAUGCACGUGGUGAGCUUUGAAAGAGGUUUUGAUGUGUAUUGGGUUAUACAAGGGAGGUUUUUUUGUAACCCGAACUUCCCAUCCCAGUGGAUAGCCUCUGGUAGCAGUUCUUUGUUUGGAUUAUAGGAAUUUGUGUAAAAGACUUUUUGCUACCCUGGUAGAAUUUCUCUCUGGGAUACCUGUCAGUUAUCACUGGAUUUCAAUUUGCUGUCAAUUUGCAGAAGUUAUCAGCUGGAGUGUAGGUUUUCUGAUGGCUCCUGCUUCUGCACUAACUCCCCUGUCUUGGAAGUGUUUUCAUGAAUAUAGGGAAGUCUUAUUCAAAUGCUACCCUUCAAGAACUAGGUUAGAAAUGAGGGAGACGUUGUGCUGAACCACCACCAGUGGUAGCACGGCUCACGUUUUACAAUGCAGCUUCAUUGGGCUGCUUUUGAAAUGUCUCCGCAGCUCCCUGCACAUGGCAGCGCUUGGCACAAGGAGCCAGUUUGGCCAGUGCUCACUCUUGCUCCCCCUGCCUUAUGUCACUGAGCUCUACUUAAUCCAUAAUCUGCUUCUUUUAAAUUAGUGUUUCCAAGCUGUCUUGAAAACCAUAUGUCUAUUAGGAUGUGAUGUGUAUAUGGCAAAUGCUUAAUUUGGUCCAGUUUAGCAGGGCGCAUCCCCAUGCUGCUCUGAAUCUGUAGCUGUAUACUUUAGUUCUUUAAGUCUGGUUUUAUUUACUUAAUUCUUUUAACCUUAGGUCAAAUUUACAGCAAUAACCCAGUGAAUGCAGUCAGACUGUGGGUAGAAGAUUACAAGCAGUUGCAGGGGUUUGAGUUUCUAUGCUAACUAAUGAAUUUUUUGUCUCAUGGAAAAUAUUGAGAAAAAGUCAUCAGGGUAUUAAAUAUGUGGUUUUUGUAACCCAGCCUGAUUGACAUAUGUCAGAGAGCCCAUUGUGCUGGCAGAAACUACCUGGGCCAUUACUACUCUGGCCAUCACUACCUACUACCAUUAUCAACUCAAACUACUGAAAGCAGUGGAAAUGAAGUCUAUGUGGGAAAGAAGCAAACACUUCCACAGACACUACAAAGUUUGAAGGCCUUAUGCAAAGAAAAGGGUAGUUCAGAUAAUGCCACAAAGUUUCUUGUAUUUUUGUUUGUUAACUGUUAAUUCCCCUUCUAAAAUCACCAAGGUGGUGAAGUUGAUUUUAUUUAAUCAUAUGUAACUAUUGUAGUUUAUUGAAGCAAUGUUUUUGAAGUUAACUGUUUGAAAUAUAUUUUUGAAAUCUAUGUCAUGGCUGCUUAGACAUAGUUACUUAUGUACCUAUCCUGGUGUGCUAUUUAAUUCUCUGCUUGAUUAUUAUGUUUUAAUAAAAUUACUUUCUUAAACUCUUUCAAGCAUUCCUAACAUGGAUGGCAAAGUCCGGAUAACUCCUACUUUGUCUGGAGGAAGAAUGGACAAAAGAUGAAGGCAUGCAUCACGGAGCAAUCUCACAUGCUGCUUGAUGGCAGAGUGCAUGUUUUCAGCUGGGUGAAAGAUUCAG